rnacentral:rRNA from 1 species
GACGAACGCUGGCGGCGUGCUUAACACAUGCAAGUCGAACGGUAGGGCCCUUCGGGGUACACGAGUGGCGAACGGGUGAGUAACACGUGGGUGAUCUGCCCUGCACUUCGGGAUAAGCCUGGGAAACUGGGUCUAAUACCGGAUAGGACUCCGGACUGCAUGGUCUGGGGUGGAAAGCUUUUGCGGUGUGGGAUGGGCCCGCGGGCUAUCAGCUUGUUGGUGGGGUGAUGGCCUACCAAGGCGACGACGGGUAGCCGGCCUGAGAGGGUGACCGGCCACACUGGGACUGAGAUACGGCCCAGACUCCUACGGGAGGCAGCAGUGGGGAAUAUUGCACAAUGGGCGCAAGCCUGAUGCAGCGACGCCGCGUGAGGGAUGACGGCCUUCGGGUUGUAAACCUCUUUCAGCAUCGACGAAGCGAAAGUGACGGUAGGUGCAGAAGAAGGACCGGCCAACUACGUGCCAGCCGCCGCAGUAA